CCUACGGGGGGCAGCAGUGGGGGAUAUUGCACAAUGGGGGAAACCCUGAUGCAGCGACGCCGCGUGGGUGAAGAAGCGCCUCGGCGCGUAAAGCCCUGUCAGCAGGGAAGAAAAUGACGGUACCUGAAGAAGAAGCCCCGGCUAACUACGUGCCAGCAGCCGCGGUAAUACGUAGGGGGCAAGCGUUAUCCGGAUGUACUGGGGGUAAAGGGGGCGCAGACGGCGGUGCAAGCCAGGAGUGAAAGCCCGGGGCCCCACCCCGGGACUGCUCGUGGCACUGCGUGGCUAGAGUGCAGGAGGGGAAGGAGGAAUUCCUGGUGGAGCGGUGAAAUGCGUAGAUAUCAGGAGGAACACCGGUGGCGAAGGCGGCCUGCUGGACUGCAACUGACGUUGAUGCCCGAAAGCGUGGGGAGCAAACAGGAUUAGAUACCCUGGUAGUC
rnacentral:rRNA from 1 species